rnacentral:misc_RNA from 1 species
CCGAGUGAGGGCCUCUGGCCCGACCUCCAACCCUUUGUUAUCAAAACCACGUUGCCUCGGGGGCGAACGCCGCGCCUGUCCGCGUCAGGGCCCCCGGCGGACCAUUUCAAAACUCUGCAUCUUUGCGUCGGGUUUAAAAGUUUAAUUGAUUA